rnacentral:rRNA from 1 species
UACGUAGGGUGCAAGCGUUGUCCGGAUUUAUUGGGCGUAAAGAGCGUGUAGGCGGCCUGAAAGGUCAGCUGUGAAAACUCGAGGCUCAACCUCGAGACGUCGGUUGAAACCAUCUGGCUAGAGUCCGGAAGAGGAGUGUGGAAUUCCCGGUGUAGCGGUGAAAUGCGCAGAUAUCGGGAAGAACACCCGUGGCGAAGGCGGCACUCUGGGACGGUACUGACGCUGAGGAGCGAAAGCGUGGGGAGCGAACAGG